GAUGAACGCUGGCGGCGUGCUUAACACAUGCAAGUCGAACGGAAGGGCCCAAGCUUGCUUCGGUACUCGAGUGGCGAACGGGUGCGUAACACGUGGGCGUUCUGCCCUGCACUUCGGGAUAAGCCUGGGAAACUGGGUCUACUACCGGAUAGGACCACAUUUUGGAUGGUGUGGUGGAAAGUUUUUCGGUGUUGGCUGGGCUUGCGGCCUAUUAGCUUGUUGGUGGGGUAAUGGCUUACCAAGGCGUCGACGGGUAGCCGGCCUGAGAGGGUGUACGGGCACAGUGGGACUGCGGUAGGGACCAGAGUGCUACGUGAGGCAGCGGGGGGAAAUAUGGUCCAAUGGGCCCAAGCGGGAUACAGCGACGUCGGGUUGGAGAUGACCGUCUUCUGGGAGUAAAAAGCUUUCGGUUGAUACGAAGCGGAAGUGACGGUACCUGAAGAAUAAGCACCGGCUAACUACGUG
rnacentral:rRNA from 1 species